ACUGGGAAUGGACUUGAAAACAUGUCAAGGUGAAUGGAAUAAAAGAGUUAGAGCUAUCUGGCCUGAAGAAAAACCAGAGCAAAGGGAUGGGACAGGGAGAGUUAUGUGUACAGUCUACAACAGAGGUGGGGAAUCUCUUUUCUGCCAAGGGCCAUUUGGAUUUUAUAACAUCAUUCACAGAUCACACAAUGUGUUUUACUUAGGCUUCAACUCACCAUCACUUGUAGUUGCCUUAGCAAAUGCUUUUGUUCUGUCUUAUUCAGGCUGGAUGUUCCCCACCCCGGUCUACAAGAAUAUGUAGGGCUGAGGGUUUAGACUUGUCACACUUGGCUCAAGAAAACAGAAUUCCAGGUCAAUGUAAGAAAGAAUGAUCCUAACAUGGAAUGAGCUGCUAAAUAUGGAAGUGACUUCUCCGUCACAUGAAGUCUUCAGUCUGAAUGUUCACUUGUUGAGGAUGGUAUAGGCAGGAUUUCUGCUCAGGUAGAGAUGGAUGAUCUCUGAGCUCCUUUGCAACUCUGAUACUCUGAUUCUAUGUGGCUCCUGACACUGUUGCUUCACGGAGCUCUGAGAAAAUGCCUUCUGGGACAUCAUCAUGGGGAAAUGGAGCUAUGGUGCAGAGGAAAGAGGCCUGCUCUGGGAAUCAGGAGACCUGGAUUCUCUUUCUAGCUGUGCUAUUUACUAAGUCUAUGACCUUGGGAAAAUGUCACUCCCUUCACUGGCCUUUAGUUUCCUCCUCUGUGAAAUCAGGGUAUCAGACCAUCUAGUCUAAUAAAUUAGACUAGAUGGUCUCUAAAGUCCUUCUGAGCUCUGACUGCAUAAGCAGAGGAAAGGAUACUGGAGGUAAGGAAGAUGAGUUUCCCGGAAGGAAUUACAGAAUAGAAAACCAGAGGGAAGAAUUAACUUACAAGCUCUCUCCAAAGAGGUCAAAACACUUUCUAUCCAUUAUCCUGUACACUUCCCACAUCCCUCAUGAAAAGUGAUGGGGGCUGCAAUUGUCUAGGGAAAGCUUGGGCACAGGAGAGUGGAAGCAAUUUGUUGCUCUCAGUAAGAAAAGCAAGCUAAGGAGCCCUAAGCCCCAAGUCUCAAGGCUCAAGCUUUGCUAAGUACGUACUCCCCCUUUUAUAUUCAAAUCCCCAAGAACUCCCAGCCUUGCAUAGGUAUGCUUGGGUUCUCCUACCCAAAGCCCCUGACAUCCCAGUUCGGGAGUCACAUUGUUCUCCCCCAGCCCCAAACACCAACUGAGAGCAGGGAAACCAUGUACCUCAUUCUCCAGCACUUAGCUCAGAGCCAAGAGCCAGCCCACCCCAGAGGCAUCACAGUGAUUACCAGUUACUUCUCAUCUGGGUGUCCCAUGUCCCUACUAGACUGAGCUCCCUAAGGGAUCAGAGGACUUAGAAUCAGAAGAGAUCUUAUAGUUCCAUCUACUUCGGCCCCAAAAUUGUACAGAUAAGGAAACAGGCUCAAAGAGAUUAAGUCACUUCUCCAAGGUCACACAGGUAAUAGCAAACCGAUUCAUGGGAAUGGGGUCCAGGUCCUGAUUUCAGAUCCCGCGGUAUACAGCAGGCACCGCAGCUCCUGCCUCCCCGUCUCCUCUCCCCCAGUGCAGCCUAACCCAGGGCUGGGGGUGAACGGUCCCUUCGUAAACAUUUGUCCAAAGACUGAAUCAUGGCACUGACCAGAGGGAUGUCCUGUGACCCUACAGGAGCGACCAGAACUUCACCACCAUUAAGCACUCCACAGGGGAGGUCACGCCGGCGGCACUGGCCAAAUCUGCCUUCUGUUCCCCACAAUCUAUCAGUCUGAGGCUCAGGAUUAAAAAAAUCAAUUUUUAAACACCUGUGCUGGAUUCUGUGGCCGAGCCCCAGACUGGCCUGAAGAGAAGGGCCUUAACUAACGGCCCUGCUCGCAUCCCCUUUCUCCCCCCACGCCCAUGGCGGGGAAGGUGUUAGAAGAGAGAAUAUCAGAACUGGAAGGGACGGGAAGGUGGUUUCUAAGGAAAAGGAGCUGGAAACUCAGGCAAUGGCAUCAGGUCCAUGCAGCCUUACGUCAAUGGAAGGGGGAGGGGGGAGUAGCGCCAAGAGAGGAAGAUGAGGGAAGGAUGGAGGAAGAGGGGAUUGCUCUGGGGCCUUGGGUGGCGCCUUAACCUGCGGUCUCCCUGCGGCUUCUCCACCGGCAGCAGAAACCGCACCUUUCCCCCCUCCAAGGGACACCCCCCCAAGCCCGUACAGAACGAAGGUCACCUCGGUUCUCCUCGCCACCUCUGCAGUGUACAGAAUGGAAUUUCCCAUCCAUCCACCACCAAAAUAAACAAACCGGAGUUGGAUGAAGCAAGCAAAUUUUAGAGCACCUUUUCUAGCCCCUUCCUCCCACCAGAAGACUGAAGAUUUUUCCCAAUAAAGACUGAAGAUUUUCCCCUUAACCUGAGUUCCUGACUCCGGCUGAUUUUAAAUACGCGAUCAUUACACUUUUGAUAGUGGCAAGAAACUGGAAACUGAGUGGAUGUCCAUCAAUUACAUAAUGACUGAAUAAGUUGUGGUAUAUGAAUGCUAUGGAAUAUUAUUGUUUUGUAAGAAAUGACCAGCUGGAUGAUUUCAGAGAGACCUGGGGAGACUUACAGGAAUUGAUGCUGAGGGAAAUGAGCAGAAUCAGGAGAUCAUUGUACAUGGCAACAAGAAGAUUAUACGAAGAUCCAUUCUGACGGAAUUGACUGUUUUCAACAAUGUGAUGAUUGAGGCUGGUUGCCUGUUGUUGAUCACAACAUAGCAUUUUCAUUCUUUUCAUUAUUGUUUGCUUGCAUUUUGUUUUCUUUCUCAUUUUUUCCCUCUUUGAUCUGACUUGUCUUGUGCAGCAUGAUGAUUGAAUAAAUAAGUAUACAUGUAUUGGAUUUUACA